rnacentral:rRNA from 1 species
AUUGAACGCUGGCGGCAUGCCUUACACAUGCAAGUCGAACGGCAGCACGGGAGUAAUCCUGGUGGCGAGUGGCGAACGGGUGAGUAAUGUAUCGGAACGUGCCCAGUCGUGGGGGAUAACGCAGCGAAAGCUGUGCUAAUACCGCAUACGAUCUAUGGAUGAAAGCGGGGGAUCGCAAGACCUCGCGCGAUUGGAGCGGCCGAUAUCAGAUUAGCUAGUUGGUGGGGUAAAAGCUUACCAAGGCGACGAUCUGUAGCUGGUCUGAGAGGACGACCAGCCACACUGGAACUGAGACACGGUCCAGACUCCUACGGGAGGCAGCAGUGGGGAAUUUUGGACAAUGGGCGCAAGCCUGAUCCAGCAAUGCCGCGUGCAGGAUGAAGGCCUUCGGGUUGUAAACUGCUUUUGUACGGAGCGAAAAGGCUCUCUCUAAUACGGGGGGCUCAUGACGGUACCGUAAGAAUAAGCACCGGCUAACUACGUGCCAGCAGCCGCCGUAA